rnacentral:rRNA from 1 species
AGAGUUUGAUCCUGGCUCAGGACGAACGCUGGCGGCGUGCUUAACACAUGCAAGUCGAACGAUGAUGCUGGAGCUUGCUCCAGUUGAUUAGUGGCGAACGGGUGAGUAACACGUGAGCAAUCUGCCCUUGACUCUGGGAUAACUGCGGGAAACUGUAGCUAAUACCGGAUACUUUCACCGGAAGGCAUCUUCUGGUGAUGAAAGAAUUUCGGUCAGGGAUGAGCUCGCGGCCUAUCAGCUUGUUGGUGAGGUAACGGCUCACCAAGGCGACGACGGGUAGCCGGCCUGAGAGGGUGACCGGCCACACUGGGACUGAGACACGGCCCAGACUCCUACGGGAGGCAGCAGUGGGGAAUAUUGCACAAUGGGCGCAAGCCUGAUGCAGCAACGCCGCGUGAGGGAUGAAGGCCUUCGGGUUGUAAACCUCUUUUAGCAGGGAAGAAGCGAAAGUGACGGUACCUGCAGAAAAAGCACCGGCUAACUACGUGCCAGCAGCCGCGGUAAUACGUAGGGUGCAAGCGUUGUCCGGAAUUAUUGGGCGUAAAGAGCUCGUAGGCGGUUUGUCACGUCUGCUGUGAAAAUCCAAGGCUCAACCUUGGACUUGCAGUGGGUACGGGCAGGCUAGAGUGCGGUAGGGGAGAUGGGAAUUCCUGGUGUAGCGGUGGAAUGCGCAGAUAUCAGGAGGAACACCAAUGGCGAAGGCACAUCUCUGGGCCGUAACUGACGCUGAGGAGCGAAAGCGUGGGGAGCAAACAGGAUUAGAUACCCUGAUAGUCCACGCCGUAAACGGUGGGUGCUAGCUGUGGGCCACAUUCCACGUGGUCCGUAACGAAGUUAACACAUUAAGCACCCCGCCUGGGGAGUACGGCCGCAAGGCUAAAACUCAAAGGAAUUGACGGGGGCCCGCACAAGCGGCGGA